rnacentral:snoRNA from 1 species
UGAUGAUAGUGAGGGCAAUUUCUGAGCAUACCCUUAAAUCUCUCCCAAGCUUGGUAGAGAUUAUCUCUUUUUUUUUUGUCUAAAACUCAAGAUCUCUCUCCUCAAGCA